rnacentral:rRNA from 15 species
CUCGUCCUUAGUUGCCAUCAUUUAGUUGGGCACUUUAAGGAAACUGCCGGUGAUAAGCCGGAGGAAGGUGGGGAUGACGUCAAGUCCUCAUGGCCCUUACAGGCUGGGCUACACACGUGCUACAAUGGCAUCUACAGUGGGCAGCUAUCCCGCAAGGGUGAGCUAAUCUCCAAAAGAUGUCUCAGUUCGGAUUGGACUCUGCAACUCGAGUCCAUGAAGGCGGAAUCGCUAGUAAUCGCGGAUCAGCAUGCCGCGGUGAAUACGUUCCCAGGCCUUGUACACACCGCCCGUCACACCAUGGGAGUUGGAUUCACCCGAAGGUGGUGCGCUAACC